GGGAAUGUGGCUUAGUGGUAAAGUGCUUGUCUAGCAUGCAUGAAGCCCUGGGUUCGAUUCCUCAGUACCA
rnacentral:tRNA from 1 species